AGAAGAAGCACUUAGAGAACCUUACGGUACAAGUGAACCAGUUAGAAAUACAGAACCGGGAGCUGAAGAAGCGGUUGGGUUCAGUUCUAGGGCAGUGCCACGUAUUAUGGAGGGAGAAUGACCGCUUAACAACAGAAUAUUUAGGUCUCCAAGCCAGACAUUCAGAUCUUUGCCAAGCUUUAUUGGUCAUGCACGACAUGUAACGCCCAAAAUAAUUAUCAUCAUCCAUAUAAUUUUUAACUUAAUCAUAAUUAUUAGGCCCGUUAAAGCUCUAAUAAUCACAAAAUUAUAUUAGAGCUCACUUUCUAUUUCUCUCUUUCUCCCAAACAGAAAGCAGGUAGGGCAGUUGGGUGCUCGUCAAAAUCUCUUUUUUUUUUUUCUUUAAG
rnacentral:misc_RNA from 1 species